AAAUGUAAAUAAAUACAUACAUGCAGUUAUAUUUAUAUCUGUAGCCCCAUCAACUAACCCUAGAAAAUCUCUUAAUCGCUCCGACGCCUUUGAUGUUCAGAUCUUCCAGUGGUCGUGUCGCAGGUGACUUUCGCCCUUGUAUGCAACGACCCUUUCUCAAAUGAAAAAAUUUCAGGAGGGCGAAAGUCAUUUGUGACCCGAUAAUGGAAGAUCUAGUUGUCAAAGGCUUCUAGGGGCGCUUUCAUGUCGAGUUCAUUCCUAUCUCUAAGCCGAGGAUUCUCCCAGGCUAGCUCCACGGGAUACCUGAUAAUAGCAAUCUUGGAUGUGAGAAGAAAUCACCUACCAUUUUUGCCUCUCCCGAGAUUUGAACCUGAGACCUCAUGAUGCUCAACCUACUUCAUUGGCCACUAGGCCACACCCUUGGGUGUGCCCUUUCAUUCCCUUUCUUGGGAGCCAGUCUAUCCUAUCCAGCUGCUGGCAGCAGCAUAUCUCAUGUUGGUUGAGUAUGAAGUUAAUUAUCCAUCAUUUGAUUCAUGUUUAGCUGUGGGUGAUAGUGGAAUUUUUUUAAAAACUUGGGAGGGCCAGCUUGACAAUUCUCUUCUUUGCUACUGUCAUUACAUCUCUCUGAUUCCAGGUUUUUACUUCCCCUGUGGUGUGUGAUGUAUCAUAUCGUACUUGGUUAUAAGGCCAGUAAAGCCUUGACUUAUAAUUCCUGUUCGCUAUAGUGAGUACUUUAUUGGUAAUGCUGCAGACUGAUUGAAAAUUAUUUAGUUUGGUGGGUUAGUUUGCUUUGUCGGUCAAGCUUCUUCCUGCAAGUUUGCUGGUUUUGUAGUGCUUAAAAGAAUAUCUAUACAUCUGUUCUUAUA